GGGCCAUCACGACAUCCACACGUCUGUUUACCAGGACGUUCUGGGGGGGAAAAACGAUUUUAAUUGCGUGCAUGUUUUUGGUGGUGGGAGGAAGCCGGAGUACCCGGAGGAAACCCACGCAGUCACGGGGAGAACAUGCAAACUCCACACGGACAGAUCCCGAGUCUGGGAUUGAACCAAGGACUACUCAGGACCUUCGUAUUGUGAGCCCAGCUUUUUCGUCAUCAUCCUCCAUGUCAAGUCCUGGCACAUGCACGAUUGGAAAGUACCAUACCAGAAUCUGUGCAAGAAGACAAUGGAUGGAAAAUCACUGAUGCCACCACGAGGUAAAGGGUGAACACUGUUAACAAAAACAGGCGGCUAAUCUUGGCACUCCUCUUCACUGCGACAAUCAAGAUGACCAAUUUUUGAUGGCGUUCACCUUCAUCUCCUGCCUCAUCAAUAACCUAUCUCCACCUUGGUGAGCCUUUAACGCAAGCAAUAUCAAAAGACAAGAGUGCAGGAGAAAGCGAUGAUGUGUCAAUGUCUUGAUCUGUUUGGCAGC